rnacentral:rRNA from 1 species
ACCUGUAGUGGAAAUCGGGCGGAAGGAGGUGUUCGAGACAUUGAGGCAGCAAUACCACCUACCAAGCUCGGCUGGCUUGCUGGGCACAGUCUCUUGCUUGCGGCCGGAUCACACUCCGGGCCGGCUGGAAUGGUGGGGGACAUACGCCUGUGGGAUGUCCGGGCAAGCUCGACGGUGCCAGUGUGGGAGGUGAGGGAGAAGGACGACUGCUUUGCAGAUGUUGCUGCAUCAGACUCACCGUCGGCAUUGUUUAAGGUAGGGGCUGCCUCCAGUGAGGUUUUCGUGGCUGACUUGAGGAGAUUUAGUGCAUAUGCUGAGGUGUGGACACAGGUGGAAAUUACAUCAGAGCCUCGGGAGAAGAAGGUGAUGAGGAGGAAUUGGGUAGGGAACGACGGCGAGGAGAAGGCCAAGAUCGUAAGCUGGGCCUUCGGAGGCAGCAGAAUGGCAUUGGCUAGAGUCGAUAAGCGGUCUGUUGAGGUGUGGGAUAGUGCUUCUGGGACAAUAUCAGGUGAAUAG